AACACAUCCCUACAAAGGAAAAAAAUUGGAGCGAACGUUAGCUCCACUGUCUUCAAGCGCCGCAUGCUGUUGAGCUGAGAGUCUAUACUAAUAUAUUAAAUUAGAGUUGGUGGUGAUGGUACGGUCGUCGCGGUAUGUCAUUUCACCAAAAUUACGAAUCUGCCACCGUUGUCCCCACGCGCCUUUUAAUUCCGGCUCCCGUGGUUCUCAAGCGCAGAAAAAACACGUACUGUCCAAAAAAAAAGAACAACAAAGCCCUUCUCGCUCCUCCUAUCCUACGAAUCUCACCCCCACCCGAUCCGGAUCUCGCC
rnacentral:lncRNA from 1 species